AGUUUGACUGAUGAUGAAGAACCAUAGCUGAUUGCUGUAUUGUACGUCUUCAUUAAAAAAUACAAUUAAUAUAUUUUAUUUCUGUUAAAAGAUUCUUUGUGAGGAUCAAUCCAGAUGUUGGUACCAAAUGCACAGCCAAAGUCGGUACAAGCCGCAAGACGGGAAGUCUUGUCAAGAGGAAAGUAGUCAGUGUCAACUCCCAGAUCACCACCUUCUUCCAACAACUUGCUGAAUUUGAAUGGAGGACUUCCAACUAGUUCAGCUUCCACAAGAUGGAUCCCACUGAUUUUGUUUGACAAAUGGAAUAAAAGUUCUUCUGAUGUAGGAAAUGUGUUCUAUGGUUUUGUUGUUUUAUAGCACAUUAUAUUGUAUUGUGACAUUGUUCUUUAUGACAUUGCGAAUAUGUAAAUGGAUUUUAUUUCUACAAAUCUGCUGAAAAUAAAUACCUGUUAUUCACAGUA